AUAAAUGGUUAUGUAUGUUUGCUGCAAAUAUGUUUCUAAAAUAUGUUGUGGAGUUGAUAAACAAGCCUGCCUCAGACAAAGGAAUGUGGAUGUACUUGUUGGGGUCAAGCUUUGUAAGCCAGAGGACAAUGAAAAUACAUUCACAUAUAAGGUAACAAAGCAAUCAAGCUAACUAGUGGCAGCUUGGUGAUCACACCAGGGGACAAACUGAAGUCUGAAUCUCCAGGAGGUCUUCCUGGCUCUUGAGAUACUAUAAGUAAUUUAGUAUGGGCUGAAUUGAAGAACAGGACAGUGAGAUUCCAGAAUGGCAUGACCAGAUGGAAAAACGUCUCCACUUAAAGAGAUAAGUAACCCUACUAGCUUUCUACUAUUUAGCAGAACUUCUUGAAUCUCUUUUGAGCAAGACUGCUCCCUAACGUCUAGCCAUGGAGCAUCCAUACAUUAAAUGAAGAGUGUGCAGGCUUGGGUGGAAUAGACAACCAUGAUUUUGGGACAUUAGGUCCGAGCCCAGUAAAAGUGAAAUUGGAGGUUUCACAGACCAUGCCAGGAGAGUGGCAAACCAGUGUUGACAGGCCCACACUGGGGCUAUGAGUAUGACUCUGGCCUGGUCUCCUCUUAUCUUCAGUAAUACCUUGUGAAUGAGUGGAAUUGGUGGGAAAGCAUAGAGGAGCCUGUCUGACCAUGGUAAUAAGAAUGCAUCUGUCAAGGAACCUGGGCUGUGACCACGUAGAGAACAGAACUGCUGACACUUUCUGUUGAUCCUUGUUGCAGGUAGUCUACCUGGGGAGACUCCCACCAUUUGAAGGUGAAUCUAGCCACAUCCAAGCAAAAAGACCACUUGUGGUGACUCAUAAAUGAUCUGCUCAGGUCCUGAUGAGCAGGGCAAAGUGGGAUCACAAUGUAUCUGCUGAGGCUGACAGUGCUUUCUGACCCCAAGAUUUCAAGGUAUUUGAGGAAAAACAACUUAAAACUCAGGAAAGAAGAAUCACAGAAGCCAGAGACCAAGAGAGGACUCCACAGAAUGGAGCGUAUGUACAGACUGAAUACAGUGCCAAGGAAGCAACUGAGUCCCCACCUCCACACACAGGAGGAGGCUAGGGACUACGAAGAGAAGACUAUGAGGGCUACUGAGGUAGCACUAGAAGUGAUCCAAGUAAGAGGGGAGACAAAGAUGACUGGAUGUAGAACCGUGUGUUGAUGUAUUAUCAUCUGUGAGUGGGUACCCAAGAGAAGCCACUUAUGUAUGAAAUGUUGCCUGGUAGAGCUCAUGGAAGAGAAGAUCUGAGGAUGCAGCUGGAGAGGAUGAUGGAGUUUGAAUGAGGGUUUGAAGACAUGGAGGAGAGGAGAUAGGAAGUUGCAAAGACUCAAGAUUUGCAGACAUCUUUUGCACAAGAGGACCCAGAGGGCAGACUGCUAAAUGAGGAGGUUGGCCAUUGGAAGAAUGCAAUCAUGAGGAAAAAGCAGAGGAGAAGAAAGUUGAGGAAUAUGUUUGCUGAACUGGAGAAUGAGGAGGAGAAGGAGGCAGAAGAUGUAGUGGUGAGGAAGAAGAGAAAGGAAGCCAAUCCCAGCACGAGAGACUAUUGUGAUGUUGCACUCCAUAUUUUUAUUAAAAUAUGUUUAUAAGUGUGGAUAUUACAUAACUGGAAUAUGCUGAAUUCUAGAUAUGCCAUGUAACAUAUCUUUGCAAAGGUUAUGAUCUACUGAAUAUAUUCAUCCUAUUUGUAUGCAUGUAUCUUUUUAUAUCUGAAGUUAUGAGCAUUGGCUCUAUGCUCGUAUUUGAGGUAUUUGCUGUAGGAAACACAUAACGGAGGUUUGGCCAAUAUAUUGUGAAGGGGCUGUUCAAGUAAUUGGCAGUACUUAACUAACAAUCGACUUUGGGAAAUGCCAAUCCACAUCUAAGCUUUCCUGGGAACGUUCAAACUAACAUGUAAACAAUGGCGUCAGCCUGCAAAAAGCUGGAUCAUUCAUGGACAUGUGACUUGCCCAGGUGGCUACAAACUCCAUCUUAUUGCUGUGAUUUUGCACCAAAGAACAAAGGGGUUUCUGCCCAUAAGGGAGAGAAUAUAAAAGGCCCUGGAAGCCCCUCCAUUUUGUCUUCAACUGGCUCAAGAGAUGCCUCUCCACCCCAAAGAGAUGCCUGAAAGAAACUGGAACAAAGGACUAACUACGGGGGUGUGAGUGAUUGCUGGAUCCAGGGCAUAAACCAUAACGUUGGCCUGAAAAUGAUUGGGCCCAGACUAGGAAGGAGUAUAGUCUGGGAAAGAAGCUUAUUGGAACUUCUCUGAGGGUGAUAUUUACCUGUGUUCAGUUUCCUGCUAUAUUAGGCUUAGACUUGUGUGUGUUGUUUUAUUUUGCUUGGUAACUUACUUUGUUCUGUCUGUUAUUACUUAGAACCACUUAAAUCCUACUUUUUAUACUUAAUAAAAUCACUUUUGUUUAUUAAUUAA